ACUAAUUGCCCUAGAACUAUUUUAGGCAUGGAUCAUGUGUGCUGUCAGUCAGAACUUUGCCCUAGAGUGGAGAUAUGUGUAUACAUUCUGUUAGCCUUGCCUGAAUAAACCAGUUCCUUUUCACCCUUCACUCAGUCUCGACCAGCUGGACCAGCUACCCAGCUAUAUUUUCUGCAGGAGAGCUUAAUCACUUAUAGCUGUACCCAGGACCCAGUUCCAGGUGGGAAACAAUGGAGAGACCAUAGCCAAGCUGCGGUGGCUAGAGGCUGAAGCACUAUGGGUGUCCCGCUGGAGAAAUAGGAAACAAGCCGGGAUACCAGGCGGUCUGUCACAUUUUAUGUGGCAAACGUGUCUAUGCCACACUGGG